CCUGAGUGUGCUCUUCUCCGAAUAGGAAUCGUCCGCCAUGAGCGAUUUCAAGCGAUUGGAGAGCACGGACCUGGUGGAGGAGCUGAAAAAGCAUAAUUGGCUCGCGCGCUUAUAUCCACGGUGCCCAGUUUACCUCCUCCACUACAGCUAGAAUUCGGCCUCCUGCUGGGCCCCGAAGCACUGAAGCCAAGAGAGCAGCUUGGGCCUUCUGCAGGCCAUGGGCAGGCCCCAGUGCCAUCAACACCACGUCAGGCUGGAAGCCAUAGGCCAGGGGCAGUACCAGACCCAAGAUGCAGCUCAGAAACCCCCCAGUCGUCUGUAGGAACAGAGGCAGAGCCUCAGGCUCUGAUCUGGACACUGCUACUGGCUCCUGUAACCACCCUCCAAAUCUUAGGUACCCUGGAUUGUGAGCAGCAACCCCCAGAAAGACUAGGGGACAGAGAGAACCUCUCCAACCACAACACGAGUCCUCACCUGUGGCAGUGGUGUGGAGAUGUGGAACAUGGACUCCACGGCUGCCUCCUUGCCCCUGAUAUUCAGCCAUAGAACUCUCCUUUCCAGGAGUGAGCACCAUGAAUAUGUAUACAUGUCCAUGAGACUCUUUCCUGAACUUAAUAACUGGGAUAGAUGAGAGCUUGGGUCUCCAGCAGGGAGGGGACAUGCGUGACUGCCAACCUGAUAUGGCUCUGCUUUCCGGGCAUCCACUCUCAAACUGCACCUAUGGAAGGCCCCCUCCCCAUUCUGUACUGCAGUGUCCCCAGUUAAAUGCCUGCUACCUGUUCACAUACAUGCACAA